CUGCACUCAGAGUAGCAGGGAAAAAAUACUUAAGGAAAUGUGUACACACUUUUUACAAUUUCGGUUUCACCUUUAAGAGUUAUUGAACGAGGCAAGCAAAGGGAAAGCCAUACAUUUGAUUCACGAAAAUAUUUCAUUGCUUGUCUCAAAAAAAAGAUUUUUGGCAAAAUUGAAGACUAAUUCAUCAUGUAACUUUUUAGCUUAUAUGCAUGCUAAGUACAUGGGAAAAUGCAGCUAAAGUGUAUCAAAACAAGAAGUGUAAAUACAAAUCCCGUUCAUGCGUAGAAGGGACAGUAAUUUAGCUUAAGUAUACAUUGUAUUUCUUUAUUCUUAAAGGGAUAUGGCAAUAUAAAAUUAGAUUUUCGCAUUUGAAAGAACUUUCAAAAUUAUAUGUUAAACUCUUUUACCGUUUUUUUUUAUAUCUUGCUUAGUUCUUGAAAUAUUUUGACUUAAAGCAAUGAGAUGUCGCCAUCUUGGAUUUUUGCAGAUAUUGCUUGAAAACCACUGAACCUUAUGAGUUGAAAAUUAUUCUCUGGAUACUCUUUGAAAUAACAAAAUAUCUGCAAACAUUUUAAACAUUAACCACCAAGGGGUCCUUUUAUAUGGCUAACCCUACUUGUGGCGUCACCUAAAACCAGCAUUAAUGAGAUAAAAAAUAAUCCAAGAUGUCGGACAUUCCAUUGUUUUCAGUCAUUGUAUGUAAAAAUAUUUCCAGAACUAUGCAAGAUAUUAAAAAUCGGUAAAAAAAUUUAACAUAUAAUUUUAAAAGUUCUUACAAAUGGGACAAUAAACUUUUAUAUUGCCAUAUCCCUUUAAACUUUAUUCCGUAAUUUAAGGGACUGUAUCUUGCAUGGCUAUUAUUCUUACUGGCGAACUUUUAUAACUUAUUGAUAGAAAGAUUUAAUGUGAUAGAAAGAUUUAUUUGCAUUAAAUUGUUACCAGUGAAGUGCAUCCUUUUCAGUUUUCAUGUUUUUAUAUCUUGUGCAUUUUGGCACUUUCAAAGGUGUGUUAUAUAGCACAUUCAAAGGUGUGUUAAACUGGCACGUCUUUU